rnacentral:rRNA from 1 species
GAUCAUGGCUCAGGACGAACGCUGGCGGCGUGCCUAAUACAUGCAAGUAGAACGCUGAAGGAGGAGCUUGCUUCUCUGGAUGAGUUGCGAACGGGUGAGUAACGCGUAGGUAACCUGCCUGGUAGCGGGGGAUAACUAUUGGGAAACGAUAGCUAAUACCGCAUAACAGUAGAUGUUGCAUGACAUUUGCUUAAAAGGUGCAAUUGCAUCACUACCAGAUGG